rnacentral:lncRNA from 1 species
UACUCAUGCAAACUCCCAUUCCAGAGAUGGAAUUAUUUUGGGCAAAAUUGACAAUAAUGAUAUUGUUGUAUAGUUAUUAUGACAAUGGAAUUUCAACACAACGAAAACUGUUGAAGAACAAAGUGCUACAUAAAUGUGAUAUUUUCAAAACGAUGACUGAUCUCAGUGACUUUUAUGUAAUGUUACAUUAAGUUUAAAAUACCAUUGGCAGGAUCAUUUCUGUUAACAUAUGUACUCGUGCUCGUGUGGUUAUGCUCUUUGUUGCCCAUUGGUUGAUCCAGAGGGAGGAAAGGCGACGGGGUUCAUAGAAUUUUAAUAUCUCUCAUUUUUUUUUUUAGAGAUUUGAUUUUCAAAACAAGAAUAAUUUACAAUAAUGAGGAUUUAUUAAUUACCUUUUAAACAUUUCAGAAACCUGCCGACA